UGAAAUNNGUAGAGAUCNGGAAGAACACCCGUGGCGAAGGCGGCCAUCUGGACCAGCACUGACGCUGANGCACGAAAGCGUGGGGAGCAAACANGAUUAGAUACCCUNGUAGUNCACGCCCUAAACGAUGCGAACNNGAUGUUGGGCACANUUAGGUGCUCAGUGUCGAAGCUAACGCGUUAANUUNGCCGCCUGGGGAGUACGGUCNCAAGACUGAAACUCAAAGGAAUUGACGGGGGCCCGCACAAGCGGUGGAGUAUGUGGUUUAAUUCGAUGCAACGNGAAGAACCUUACCUGNCCUUGACAUGUCCGGAAUCCUGCAGAGAUGCGGGAGUNCCUUCGGGAAUCGGAACACAGGUGCUGCAUGGCUGUUGUCAGCUCGUGUNGUGAGAUGUUGGGUUAAGUCCCGCAACGAGCGCAACCCUUGUCCUUAGUUGCCAGCACGUAAUGGUGGGAACUCUAAGGAGACUGCCGGUGACAAACCGGAGGAAGGUGGGGAUGACGUCAAGUCAUCAUGGCCCUUACGGCCAGGGCUACACACGUACUACAAUGGUCGGUACAGAGGGUUGCGAUACCGCGAGGUGGAGCCAAUCCCAGAAAGCCGAUCUCAGUCCGGAUCGGAGUNUGCAACUCGACUCCGUGAAGUCGGAA
rnacentral:rRNA from 1 species